GACAGAGGGUGCAAACGUUGUUCGGAAUUACUGGGCGUAAAGCGCGUGUAGGCGGCAGGGCAUGUCGGAUGUGAAAUCCCGUGGACUCCAACCACGGAAGUGCACCCGAAACUGCCCAGCUUGAAGUCUCCGGAGAGGAAGGCGGAAUGCUUGGUGUAGAGGUGAAAUUCGUAGAUAUCAAGCGGAACACCGGUGGCGAAGGCGGCCUUCUGGACGGAUGACUGACGCUGAGACGCGAAAGCGUGGGGAGCAAACAGG
rnacentral:rRNA from 1 species